AAUAAAAUAUAUUCCAAAAGACCCGCUCCAAUAUAUCGGUAUGUUAAUAUAUUUGUUCAAUAUUAAUAAUCUAUACAUUGAAAACAUAGACAAUUUAACAAAUAAUGCAUUACACUUUAGGUCAAAUGACAGGUUAUGGACUUGGCAGUAAUCUCCUAAAAUUAUAUCGUCUGAAUUUUAACAUAUUUGUUACACUUAUGAUAAUAUUAUAGCUUAAUAAAUGUUUGUACUUUUUUUAAUUAAAGCUACGUUGUUUACAUCCUUGCCAUUUUUGUUGAUUAUAAUUACAGUGACAAUACUUCCACAUCUUAUUUUUUAUUUACCAACAACUAAAAUACAUUGAGAGAUAUCAUGAAAUAUAUAAUAUAAUUAUUUAUCGAUAAAAGACUUGGCAAACUUAUAAAUAAGAGUUAAAGUUGUAGCUAAAAUGAAUAACAUUUUGUUGUAUCAAAAUGUUAUGAUAUAAAAAUUCAGACACAAAGCUUUCCUGACACAAAACAAAUGCAUCCCUUUUGACACUCAAAAUAUAUUAUUGGUUUUCUAAUUUGAUAGAGAAUAAAGAAUACGAAUUUGCCUUCUUGUUUUAAUUUUAUACUCAAAGACUUGCUUUGAUUUCAGUUAUGUCUAUUUAAACAUUUUGUUCGGAGUCGAGUAUUUCUGGAUUUAUUGUACUGUAUGGUAUUUUAAGGGAGUCGUAUUAAAAUGUUUUCGUAUUAAUUGAUAAGGCGAUGUAUAGAUAUAUGAAAUUGGAUGCUUUUAUUGAUUUCUCUUAAAAUUUAGCAUUUAAAACGCUUUAACCUCUGUCUGAUAAAGUGGUGUAUGCAGUUGAUAUGAUUUCAGAUAUACAAUCAGUUGUUUGUAUUUAUAUAUAUCUGGUAAUGUAUAUAUAAAGAAAGGCAACAGAAGUAUACCGAUGUUCAAAACUCAAAAAUCGAUAGCAGAAAAACAAAUCCGGGUCACAAACCAAAAGCGAGGGAAACGCAUUAAAUAUAAGAGGACAAUGACGACACAACAUGAAAAUGUAACACACACAGAAACGAACUAAGCAUUAGACAAAAUCCGAUGAGAAUAACAAAUAUAACAUCAAAACUAAAAACUAAAACAAAAAAGAAAAGUACCGUGACACUUAUAGAAACGGUAUUUAUUUUUUUCACUUAAGAUUGCCAUUUCUGAAAAUGUCCAAAUCAUAUUUAGUUAGAUAUUAUACAAUUACUGUCUUUUGAUGAGAUAAAUAUGUAGUUUUAUAGACUUUUGAAAAACUGAUAUACCCUUAGGCCAACGGCCGAAGUGAAUAUCAGUUUUUCAAAAGUCAAUUAAACCACAUAUUUACCGAAACAAAAGACAGUUAUUGUUUACUCCAUAUUCCGAGAAAAAUGUAUGUUAUGGUAAUUAUUCACCAAAACCAAUUGCACAUGAAACGUUUUUUACUCAAAUUAUGCACGCAAAAGCACGCGACGUUUGGCGCGGUGAAUAUCCUUUUCCGCAGGUGAAUAUGCUUAUUUAUUAAAAACUCCAAUUCAUAUAGAAAAACAUACCAAAACUUUAUCAAUAUGCAAUAACAUAUUUAUUGCUGUGAAUAUUUUCCGACUUAUGAUAAUAUUGAGAAAUCCGGUACAGAUAUACUGUACAUCGUCAUGUUCAAUUAAAAUAGAACUCGUCGUUUUACGCCUUGCAACAAUGUAGACAAGAAAUACGGAUACUUUACCUUAAAAGUAUAUAAUGUUGAUCUGUUUAUUUCCAAAACUAAACUUAUAAUAUGUUAUGCACGUGUACAUUUUUAUACAUAAUUCCAGGACGAAUAUAUGCAUUUCUACUGAAGACUUAGGAAUGUAUAGGCUUGGUAAGAUAUAUCAACCACACCCCAUUUUCUUACUUUUCAUAUUUACAUAACAUGGCUGCAUAACCUAUAGUUAAUGUAUAUGUCACUUUGGUCUCUUGUGGACAGUUGUCUCAUUGGCAAUCAUACCACAUCUUCUUUUUUAUAUAAGUUACUGUCUUUUUAACACAUCACUUAAUUUUUCAUUUAUAUGCUUUUAAAUAUUUAGUAUACUCUUAUCAUUAUUAUCAUUAUCAAUGUUAUUUUAUUAUUAUUAUUAUUAUUAUUAUUAUUAUUAUUAUUAUUAUUAUUAUUCUUGUUAUUCUUUUUAUUUUUAUAUAUUAUAUUGCUAUACAAUAAUUAUUAUUACUGUAUUAUUAUAAAGAUAUUCAAAACCAAUGGUACAGAUACUUGAACCGAUUAAAACUUAAUGUUAUUACCAUACGAGCUGAGUACAAUGUACGUAGACUUCGACUUUUGAUGAAAAUGUACAUCGAAUAUAGCUAGUGCUGUUAUUUACUUUGCAUUUCAAUGGUCAAUUUUAUAUUAAGACUUAUGUCCUGUUUAUAAACAUGAUAACAAAUACCUUUGCUAUUUUUGGCUAUAAAGACCUGCUUUAGAUACUUCCCCAUAAAAAAAGCAUACAAAAGUUUUAAAAAAAUCAGAAAAGCAUUCAAGCCGUCAACUGGAAUAAUACAUUAAUAGUACAUUAAUCGUUUUGUAAAAGAAGCAAGUAUUCCUAUGAUGUUGAAAACAAGUAGACGAAGGGUAUUUACCCCAUACUCAUUUAAAGAUUUCGUAGUUUCCUAAUACAAUCAUUGUUUUAAAAAUGUUUAACGAUAAUGUAACGGUUAAUGUUAUGAAGAGGUUGGAAGUGGGCUGCAGGAACUAAAAACAAGCAUGUGUUCCAACGUGUAUUAAUAAAAAGUGGGGGUUCACAUAACAUAAAAUUCGAGUUUAUUUAUUCAGACUGUUCAUUUUUAAUUUGCGCAAUCAAUGUGUGAUGGUAAAGAUAUCACCAUUAAUCUGACACUGAACAGCUACAUGUAUAACAUGUUCACAUUUCCUAGGUACUAAAUAGUAAUUUAAAAUUUGAUGUCUGUAUAUCAAAAUUAGAUCUCUGCGACUCAUUGCACUAAAUAUCUUACGUGAAAAAUACUUGAAAGAUUAUUUGGGCUUUUAACUUUCUUAAUUUGAGUGUAUUUGAUGAGUAUUUAUGUGGACGAAAAACGCGUCUGGCUUACAAAAUGUUACCGCUGAUAUCUAUAUUGAGUUUAUAUUUGAUUAAUCUCAUAAUUAUUAUCACAUUUGGUUUUUAUUUUUUUAUAUCUAAUUUAACCGUCUGUUUUUCUUCUUUGAUCUCACCAUUAGUUUUUGUCUUCUAUGACAGAGCGGUACAACAGAGAAUAUGAAGAAUCUGAAGAUAAGAUCAGUAAGAACAUUAUCGACAGGAGGAAACAGGUACGGAUGUCCUUUAAAGUUGGUUUUGGGAUUGAAAUGUUUAAUUAUAUAAAAUGUCUAACUUGCAAAUAAGUCAAAUAUGAUUACGUGUUUAUUCGCUCAUUUCUUUGCCUUAGGUCAAAUACUGAUCUUCCGUAUCCGAUUUGAGUAUACAAACCAAGAUAAGACAACUGAGGAAUUACAUGAUUUACCAAAAGAGCGAGACUGUGUACGUCAACGGGAUGAACGGCUACUUUUCGUUAGUCUAUUAUUUUCAGUUCAUAAUCUCUUAUUAGAAUAUCACAAGUACACAUAUAAAGCGUUAUUUAAAUAUUGAAGUAGGAGGUAUAGUUAACAUAACUUUAAGAGUCAUAAUUAUUUUGCAUCUGUUGCUUAAAAAAAAAAAACUAACGCACUUUCUUUAUAUUGUCAACUUUAUCAAAACCAACAAAUGAAAUUUCAUACUCUUGACAUAGAUUUGUUCUUAAUAUGAUUUUAAAACAGUUUCAUAGUCCCAAACCUAGAUAGCCUAAUAAUUGCCAAACCAAUUUCAAAAUGAUUAGUUGGUAUCAUUACGUUCACUGACAUAUAUUUUAAGUACUUGAGUGUAUAUAUGGCGAUGACCUGGCAUCUAUUACAUUGAUCAGGUACGUCUUCGGUUGUAAACCUCUUAACUUUGAAAAAUAUGUUUACCGAAUUUUCUUAUUCAGAUUAACGUAUAAAAGUCAGUUUUAUUGUAUCAUGUUUUGUUUCGUUGACUUGCUGUCUUGCUGAUGUCUACUUUUAUUUGUACUGAUCUCCAUGUUAUUUUAUGUUGUGUCUGCUUCUACCUAUCAUAUUUGAUAACGUUCAACUCCGAUCUUUUCACUAAUAUUGACACUUGUCUUGUCAGUUUUUCGGUCAACGGCCAAUGGUUCCAUCAAUAUAAACCUACAACCAUAAUAGAGCUGAUGGUGCUGAAAGUGCCAUUAAACAACAAUUACCCAAUCAAUAAGAUUGCUGAAGAAUAUUUGAAUAAUUGUGAUAUCUUUAAUUUGGCCUAUAUUAUGUGAUUUAAAAGAAAGGCGUGGAACCAGUUUGUUUGCCUAUAACCAGCAUAGUUGUUUGUAACUCCUCAAUCAUUAGUAUGUUCUCGAGAGUAGUAUAGGAGGGUCUUUGUGAAAUAGGUUUACAUCCUCAAAAUACUUCUUUUUACUAUAUUAUUUUUUUUUUAACUGAACAGGUGCUUAUGUCUUGUAAAAAGAUCAUAUUGGUCCUGCUAUUUACAGGAAUGUUGGUGUACCUCUCUGUUUUUACAACUCGAAAAAUGAAGACGACAAGGUAUACCAUACAAUCAUUAUCAUUUGCCAUUUGUAUAUAGUGAAAAUCCGAAUACAAAACGUAAACAUGUGAAAUUUUAAUCGAUAAAAGACUGAUGAGUGUGAAACAAAAUUGCAAUGAACUUUUUAACACGAAUGUUUACUUUUUGUGUGUCUGAUUAUUUUGUUCUUUCGAUGCAAGUCAAUCAAUUUCGCACUAAAAAGUCCUUUUCAUUCUAGCGAAAGUUAAAAUAUUGUUCUUUAUGAUGAUACAAUAGGACAUUUAUACUAAUUUUAGCAAGAACAAAACCAGUGCAAACAAAAUAUUGUAAUUCAAAAGACGUGUAAUGCAGUCCUUAAUCUAUCUUUUUCAUUUUGUCCUUUUAUCAUUGUCCAAUUUGUUUUUGUCAGAAAAAAAGAAAUGUUGUCCAAAACUUUCGCUAUUGGUCCGUUGCUUUUUUGUCCUUUUAGGCUUUUGUUCGAUAUUUAUCUUUUGUCCGAAACUCUCAAUAUUUAUCAAAAUGUUGGAAAACAAAUAAUUAUUUUGUACGAACUUUAGAAAAUUAAAAGAAUAUUGGGCUCACCGAAUGGCUAUGAGACAACUAUCAAACAUGGAAUAAAGGUAGAAGAUGAAAAUAAUACAGACCUUACGGCCCAUGGCUUAUGACAGUGAUUAACACGUUUAUGAGGGCUGAAUUAAUUAAUUUUGAAUGCCUCGUUUGUAGUUUAUUUGAGUUGUAAUAGCGUUGACUGAAGCAUACGUAUAUUUUGCGAUACAUCGUAAAAUGCACAUUAGUCAACACCUUUACAGUCCAUAAAAACUAGAUAAAAAGCAACAUUCCGUCUUAAACAUUAUUAGAUAAAGGUAAAACCAUGCAGGUAAAAACAAGUGAUUAAAAUAAAAUACAUAGAUUUUAUAUUCUAUUUUUUAGAAAUUUACAUGUGACGUCACUUUUUGUGGCGUUGAUACAUUCGUGUGACGAAAAGUUCAUAGUUCUAUUGUGAUGUACAUAGGAGGUGUCCAUAGUUAUUAUGUGGUUUAUAUAUUGUAAUGUACUAUUAUAUUAUUUAUUUAUCUAUUUCUCUGUCCUGAGUGUUCUUGCGUUUAUUUGUACUGUAUUCCUGUCACGAAAUGUUGUCAUUUUAGCGGUAUUUUAACAUUGCCAUAUAAGACGGCGGUUUGGCUAGCCAUAAAACCAAGUUGAACCCACCAUUUUGUUCAGAAAAUAUCCUGUAUCAAUUCAGGAAUAUGGCAGUUGUUAUCAAAUGGCCCGUUACUUUGUAUGUUGGCGUUUUUUUGUGGCAGUUCAGUAUUUCUGUUGAUCCUUUGUUUUCCUCUUAUUGUUGAUGUGUUUCCCUCGGUUUUGGUUUGUGACCCGGAUCUGUUUCAGUUAAAUCGAUUUCUGACUAUUGAACAGCGGUAUACUACUGUUGCCUUUAUUAAUAAAUAUAUUAAACAAUUAAGAGGUCAGUGUACAUAGAUAUAGGAAGAUGUGGUGUGAGUGCCAAUGAGACAACUCUCCAUCCAAAUAACAAUUUAAAAAAGUAAACCAUAAUAGGCCUUCAACACGGAGCCUUGUCUUACACCGAACAACAAGCUACAAAGGGCCCAUAAAUUAAUAAUGUAAAACCAUUCAAAGGGGAAAAUCAACGGUCUAAACUAUAUAAAAAAAAAAAACAAACCCAGAAACACGUAUAAAUUAUAUAAACAAACGAAAACUACUGUACACCAGAUUCAUGACUUAGGACAGGUGCAAACAUUCUUACACAAUACAUCGUAUUGCUAUUUAUUACAAUCCGGAUAAGUUUUGAAAUUACAGAACUUUUCCAUGAUACAGCUUUUUUAUGACUUUAAGUUGUGUCUCACAGAAAUGGAUCAUGAUCUAUCAAAAUUUCAAAAUGUUCACUUUCUAAACUUUUCCCUUUCUCAACUCAUUAUUGAUGACCUUUAUUUUCGCGACACCUGACCGAAACAGGAAGUUGUAUCUAUAUUAGUGUGUAUGUUUAAUAUCAAGUUCUUAAUCGUACAUCAAUAUAAAGGAGUCGACUAUCAUUCUAUCAAAAUGAAUGGACACCUAAGGUUAAUAUCAUUAUUUUUGAGAAUGUCAUUAACCAAAAGUGAAUGAAUAUGUUUUCAGUGAAGGGAAUCAAGAGUUGAAACUAAAACGAGAAGAAAAGGAAACCGGAAACCAAAAAUAUGCCGAUCAACUUAAAAACGUUCUUGCUGGCAAAAAAGGACAGGAUUUCAACCUUAAAAUUGGUAUAUUUUUGUAUAAACUUUUAUGUUAAAGAACAGUAAUUGCAUGCGAAUGUCAUUACAGCAAAUGGACUUGAGUGUGCAGGUAAAGGUAGUGUCUUUGUUAGCUUACUUGCUAGCUGAAACAUGAAAGAAUUAUUAUAUAAGGUACUACCUUCCUUUUGGACAGAAUCAAUAUUAAGCAGAGAACAAAUCAAUUGUAGAAACGGUAUUUAACUCUUUACCGUUCCUAUGACCCGAAUUCGGGUCAUAAGCACUUUUUUGUGUAAAAUUUGGAUUCAAACCUUAAGUUCUCUGUCAUUUGACUAUCAACAGAUUUCACCAAGGGCUUAAAUGAAACCUGUGAGUUUCAGCUACACGUUAAAACGCCAGUUGUGUAUUUUUGGGUUGAUCUUUAUGGUAAAAUAAAGCAAUUAAACUAUCAACGUUUUUAAAAAAAAUCAGCUAAAAAUUAACAGAAAAAACUGUAGAACUGUGUAAAUCUUGAAUUAUCAAAUCAUAGUGUUUGGUUUCUAUAAACCGCAACAAUCGGUUCAUUAUGGAUUUUUUUCUUUCGGUUAUGUGUUGGACUUUAUAAAAUGUAGGUUCAAUAAGCUUUCCUAUUAUUAAUUUCUACGAAAAACGAAUACAAACAGUGAACAUUGUCAACAUGUCAGUAACUUUCAGCAACUAUUUCUUAGAAUUUCUGCCCAUACCAGUAAAAAACGUGCAUAUUGUGGUUCCAGAGGCCAAAUAGUAUAAAUAAAAUGCAUUUCUUACUACUUGUGUUACUUGGUUUUGACAUUAAAUCAUUAGUACCCCCCCCCCCUUUCCACCCUUCUCCCCUAUUUUCCCUGGUUUACACACCAUUCCACAUGGUGUGUUCUUUUAAAAAUGUAAAAAAUGCAGUUUUUACGUCUUUCUAAGUUCCUUAUUAUAAUGUAAUAUUUGUAUGUUAAUGGUCAACUUAAAAAUAAAUAUCAUAAACAACAUUGAAAAUAAGUAUGAAUUUAAUCCACUUUAACCGUCUGCUUCCGUAGCCGAGGGGAUGCAUCUAAGGCUAGUAAUCAAGCGAUCCGGGUUCGCAUCCCGUAAGGGUGAAUGUACGGUUGAAAAAAACCAAUACCAAUAUUAAACAUCUUGACUUGACUUUGAUUUAAUUCUAAUUUCAAAUUGAAAAUGCUUUUUUCCUUGUGACAAAGUUGAUUGUCUGUCUUUGGCUAUAGUCGUUUAUAGAAUAAUAGAGACAUACAUGUUCAGAUAAUCUAUUACAAAUUGGUAACUAAGGGAUGCUGAGGCUGCCAGACUUUUUUUUUUUUGUCUUUUAAAUGAUUGUAGGGAUAAACGUGUAGAUGCACUUCAGUUGCACAGUUUAGCUACGUUUUUUACCCAGAAAGCUCAAAAAUAGCAAUUUUGACCCAAAUCACCACAUAGCAUGUUUGGCUAUAAAAAUUGCUGUUUCUAACACAAAUAGACCGUUGAGGGUUCUUUUUCGUGGAGAUGUUAUUCCUGACAUUGUAUUUGAAUGCUCAGCUGAUACUAUUUCCAUAAAUAAACUUCAAAAAAGGCCAUUUUGAAUCGAAAUUUGACAAUUUUCCGAUUUUUUUGUUGUUGUCACGUGACAUUGGACUGAUUAUCACGUGAUCAAACAUGAUAAAAAAAAUAUAAAAAACCUGUCAUUAAUAUUACUGAAAAACAAUUUUCUAUAAAAAGUCUUAGUUGAUAAGUCUACUAACAAUAAUAAGAAAGUUGUGAAUGAUUGAAAUUUGAUCGUUCCUCUGCGUCAAAAAUAGUGCAAUUUUUGCCGAAUGGUAAAGAGUUAAACAUAUUUAAACCUGUUGUCGGUGUAUUUGAUAGGUAAAUAUAAUUUUAAUCAACCACCUCUGUUUAUUUAUAACUAUAGUAUUUACCCUAUGCCAAGAUAUAAUAAUGAUAUGAUUUUUUUUUAAAUCGAUUAAAAUCAACGUUAUAUAGAAUUAAACAUGUAAAUUUAGUUCUAAAUGAACAGAGGUUGAUUGAAUGAAAUAAUAAUGACAAUUCAAACAAACCUAUCACAAAUGAAUUACUCCGGCCCCCCAAAAAGUAGUACCUUAACCAAAAAUAAUUUAUUCGUUCAGUUACAAGUAGCAAGCAAACCAACCAAAGAUCCUACAUUUACCUACACACUCAAGUCUAUGUGGUGUAAGUACCUUGGUUUUUUGUAUUUAUCCGUGUUUCGUAACAAUUUAUGUUAACAGAACCAUGAUAUUUUUCAAACUUUGAAAUGCAUUUUGUAUCUUCAGAGGACAAGCAAAUAAUGCAAAAUUUGCAUAAGAAAACAUAUACUAUUUCCAUUAAAACUCAAGCAUCAUUAUAAAAAUACGAAGUGUAGAAUUUUGAACAGAAAACAGUAACAUAUUAUUCGCCUUCCAUUGAAAAACUGAAAGCAUUUGGCUAAACAGAUCAAAACACAAUUGCAAAGUGAACAGGAUGUUUAUAAAAAGAACUAUUUGUCAUAGUUUAAAAAUUAACUUGGCUCGUCAAUUUUGUCUUGAGUAACAUAUACGUAGAUCGACAACCAUUCAUACAGAAAUAAUUUAUAGGUUUUACAAAUAACUUCAUUUUCUUUUUUAGGUAUGAGAAAUGAUUUUAGGAUGCAAGAUUGCAAAGAAACAAAUUUCAAACAAACAUUUCCUGAUAUAGACUAUGCAUUUUUCGGAUAUAACAUCAUACGAGGUUAUCCACUGUCCAACGGACACGAUCCUGGAUUUACGUUCCCAAUCUUUAAAACAGAUUAUAGUGAAGGGAAACAAACGUCUGACUGCAGAUACAGCAUACCUCAUGGACUUGUUGUUGUCCCUGAUGUCUCGUGUAUAACAUCUUUUACUUCUUCUACUGCUAGAAAUAAAUACGAGUUUUCGAAAUCCUUAUCGUACAAUGCUAAAGUAGAAGGUUGUGGUUUUUUCGGAGUCAGUUUUUCAGCUUCGUAUGGGUACAAAACUUCAACUUCUGAGAUGUCAUCAGGAGAAAAUGUUAAAAUAAUAUCAACGGCAAAGUGCAUUUACUACUACACCGAGCUUAUUCAGGAAAAUAUACCUCGUUUCACUCCACAGUUUUUAACAUGGGUUAAGAAACUUGAUAAAUCAGAUGACUCACAGACAUAUCUAGACUUUUUCCAUCGCUAUGGUACACAUUAUCCCACUUAUACAACCUUUGGGGCUCGUCUCACAUACGAACACACGAUGAAAUCAUCAGACUACCAGAAAAAAACAGAAAAGGGUACCAAUGUAGCUGUUCAGGCAAGUUAUUCUGGAUUAUUUAGUGUGAGCGGGGGUUUUAACAUGGACACCAAUCAAAAGAAAGACAUAUCGGAGUUUUCUAGCUCUGUUACAACUAGGACUGUGACUGUUGGAGCACCCCCGCCCUCAAAUGGUGAUGCAAUGACAUGGGCUUCAUCAGUCAAAGAAAGCCCGGUUCCUAUGCAGUAUGAACUUUCUCCAAUACAUACAUUAUUUUCUGAAGAAUACAUGGGAGCAUUGGGUGUCAAUCACAAGAAAAUUGCCGGCAAAAUGAAAAAUGCCACGUCAGACUACUGCAAAUAUCUUCUAAAACGAGGACAAGUCGAUUCUUGUGACCCGCUCAAACCUGGUAUAAUGCUGAAACACACAAGCAUUAGUUUCCACUACAACAACGCACAGGCAAAAAGCCUAAGCGAAUGCAUUGAUCUUUGUGAAAACGAAAUAGACUGCCUUGCAAUGACAUACUGCACAGCCUGUAGCAGAAGCAGCUCAUACUUUCAUGUUUGUUUUAAGUACAACACAAAGAAUAAUCCGAAGGGUAUUCGUGCGGCAUCCACAUUAGGCGCAAGAAGAUGGGAUAGUGUCAUAUUUACUUUUAAAAUAAAAGACUACGUGCAGCUUGACAAAACUGCGGUUCGGGGAAUAUCAAGAUUACCUGUUAAAAAAAGUAAAGCAGUCACAGAUGCAGCAGAAUGCAAGUGGUUGUGCAUCAAAGACGCAUAUUGCGUUGCGUACACAUUCUGUAAAUGUCCAAAGAGAAAGAGUAAAUGUCUAACCUACGCUGAACAUAGAAUACAUGGACUGAAGCGCGAUGCUCAGUCGACCACUUAUUUCAUUGAUAGAAAUCGUCGUCAUUGGAUGAUGAAACCACCAUGGAAAAAAGGAAAUAACUAACAAAAUCGAAAAAUUAAUCAAAUGUUUAACCGACUCAGUCAUAUGAAUAUGAAAUAUAAUUAUUGCAGAGUAUAUGUUUUGUGUGGUUUUUUUUUGCAAACUACACUUUUGAAAGUGCUAUAUACAUUAUCUUAUUUCGGACUUUUAAUUGAAUGCUGUAUGACUGAUUUUACAUUUAUCUAAUGUUCAUAUGAUCAUAUCAAACUAAAAAGACAUAACAAAACGUACGUCGACCAAAAAGUGAAAGCGGGAUGGUAAAAAAUAAACAAACCAAAC
rnacentral:lncRNA from 1 species